rnacentral:rRNA from 1 species
AACGAACGCUGGCGGCAGGCUUAACACAUGCAAGUCGAACGCAUCCUUCGGGGUGAGUGGCAGACGGGUGAGUAACGCGUGGGAACGUGCCCUUCAGUUCGGGAUAACCCAGGGAAACUUGGGCUAAUACCGGAUACGUGCGAGAGCAGAAAGAUUUAUCGCUGAAGGAUCGGCCCGCGUCUGAUUAGCUAGUUGGUGGGGUAAUGGCCCACCAAGGCGACGAUCAGUAGCUGGUCUGAGAGGAUGAUCAGCCACAUUGGGACUGAGACACGGCCCAAACUCCUACGGGAGGCAGCAGUGGGGAAUAUUGGACAAUGGGCGCAAGCCUGAUCCUGCCAUGCCGCGUGAGUGAUGAAGGCCUUAGGGUUGUAAAGCUCUUUCGUCCGGGACGAUAAUGACGGUACCGGAAGAAGAAGCCCCGGCUAACUUCGUGCCAGCAGCCGCCGUAACAC